rnacentral:rRNA from 1 species
CACGUAUUUAGCCGGGGCUUCUUAGUCAGGUACCGUCAUUUUCUUCCCUGCUGAUAGGGCUUUACAUGCCGAAGCACUCCAUCGCCCACGCGGCGUCGCUGCAUCAGGGUUCCCCCCAUUGUGCAAUAUCCCCCACUGCUGCCUCCCGUAGGAGUCUGGGCCGUGUCUCAGUCCCAAUGUGGCCGCCCACCCUCUCAGGCCGGCUACUGAUCGUCGCCUUGGUGGGCCGUUGCCCCGCCAACCAGCUAAUCAGACGCGGGCCCAUCCUGCACCGCCGGAGCUUCCCCCGCCGCCCCAUGCGGGGCUGCGGGCAUAUGCGGUAUUAGCAGCCGUUUCCGGCUGUUGUCCCCCAGUGCAGGGCAGGUUGCCCACGCGUUACUCACCCGUCCGCCACUGGGCAGCGCCGGCUUCCGCUCCGAAAAGCCUCAGCCUGCGCGCCCCGUUCGACUUGCAUGUGUUAGGCACGCCGCCAGCGUUCAUCCUGAGCCAGGAUCAAA